AUGAACGCUAGCUACAGGCUUAACACAUGCAAGUCGAGGGGCAGCAUGAACUUAGCUUGCUAAGUUUGAUGGCGACCGGCGCACGGGUGAGUAACACGUAUCCAACCUGCCGAUGACUCGGGGAUAGCCUUUCGAAAGAAAGAUUAAUACCCGAUGGCAUAGUUCUUCCGCAUGGUAGAACUAUUAAAGAAUUUCGGUCAUCGAUGGGGAUGCGUUCCAUUAGGUUGUUGGCGGGGUAACGGCCCACCAAGCCUUCGAUGGAUAGGGGUUCUGAGAGGAAGGUCCCCCACAUUGGAACUGAGACACGGUCCAAACUCCUACGGGAGGCAGCAGUGAGGAAUAUUGGUCAAUGGACGAGAGUCUGAACCAGCCAAGUAGCGUGAAGGAUGACUGCCCUAUGGGUUGUAAACUUCUUUUAUACGGGAAUAAAGUGAGGCACGUGUGCCUUUUUGUAUGUACCGUAUGAAUAAGGAUCGGCUAACUCCGUGCCAGCAGCCGCGGUAAUACGGAGGAUCCGAGCGUUAUCCGGAUUUAUUGGGUUUAAAGGGAGCGUAGGCGGACGCUUAAGUCAGUUGUGAAAGUUUGCGGCUCAACCGUAAAAUUGCAGUUGAUACUGGGUGUCUUGAGUACAGUAGAGGCAGGCGGAAUUCGUGGUGUAGCGGUGAAAUGCUUAGAUAUCACGAAGAACUCCGAUUGCGAAGGCAGCUUGCUGGACUGUAACUGACGCUGAUGCUCGAAAGUGUGGGUAUCAAACAGGAUUAGAUACCCUGGUAGUCCACACAGUAAACGAUGAAUACUCGCUGUUUGCGAUAUACAGUAAGCGGCCAAGCGAAAGCGUUAAGUAUUCCACCUGGGGAGUACGCCGGCAACGGUGAAACUCAAAGGAAUUGACGGGGGCCCGCACAAGCAGUGGAGUAUGUGGUUUAAUUCGAAGCAACGCGAAGAACCUUACCAGGCCUUGACAUGGCGCCAAAGGCCCCGGAGACGGGGAGAUAGGCAUGGCGCACACAGGUGGUGCAUGGUUGUCGUCAGCUCGUGCCGUGAGGUGUCGGCUUAAGUGCCAUAACGAGCGCAACCCUUAUCGAUAGUUACCAUCAGGUUAUGCUGGGGACUCUGUCGAGACUGCCGUCGUAAGAUGUGAGGAAGGUGGGGAUGACGUCAAAUCAGCACGGCCCUUACGUCCGGGGCUACACACGUGUUACAAUGGGGGGUACAGAAGGCAGCUACACGGCGACGUGAUGCUAAUCCCUAAAGCCUCUCUCAGUUCGGAUUGGAGUCUGCAACCCGACUCCAUGAAGCUGGAUUCGCUAGUAAUCGCGCAUCAGCCACGGCGCGGUGAAUACGUUCCCGGGCCUUGUACACACCGCCCGUCAAGCCAUGAAAGCCGGGGGUACCUGAAGUGCGUAACCGCAAGGAGCGCCCUAGGGUAAAACUGGUGAUUGGGGCU
rnacentral:rRNA from 1 species